GAUAUAUCAGUUGAAAUCGAAAGGUGAGAGAAGUUGGUCGUAAGAAAUCUUUUAUGUUCUAACGUAAUUUUAUAAAUUUUUCUCAUGCCCACCAUAAUGGCAUAGCAUCUUUUCUUUAUUACAUUGUUUUAAAAACCAACGAUAUAUAAUAGGCUUUCGAAGAAUCAACUAUGUAUGGAGGCAAAGGGCGAAGUUUCUUGGCAUAAAAGUAUAUAAGGACAGUACGAACUUCUUUACUUCUUUCAUACAACAACGUCCAACAACACCUCCCCAACCUUCCCAUCUCGCCUACCAUCAACAUUCUCUUGCAUUAAGUGUGACUUUUGGACUGAUACACUCGUUUAUCUAACACCGCAUCCAGUUACCUUGUAUAUCUUCAUGAAUCGUAUUUAUAUCCUCGCACACGUGAAUGCACGAGAAGAGAGAGAGAGAGGUAGAGGGAAAUUUAAACAGGACCUUUGAAACUCGUUGCACACACUGAUGCCCGACAUGACGAAUUAGAAUCUACUUCUAUUGCGAAACGUGAGUGUAUGUAUAUGGUAUCAACAUGGAUAUCUAACAGCAAGGAAGGUCAACCACGACAAAGAGAAAUGGAUUACGGUAACGUGAUAAAAUGAUUAAAAAAAAAAGAAGAAAAAGAAGAACGAAGAAAAACGCGUGAACUAAAAAGCCUAUGCUACUCGAUCGUCGAUGGAUUAAAAAAAAAAAAGAAAAGAAAAAAAAAUUAAAAAUAAAAAGAAUAAAAUAAAAUAAAAUAAAAUAAAAUAAAAAAAGAAAAUAAAAGAAUAGGAAUAUCAAGAUCAUCUGCAUUCUUUUAAAACGCUCGUGUUCUCUUCUCUCUUUUAUCUUUUUUCUUUUUUCUUUUUUUUUUCCUUUUUCUUUUUUUUUUUUUUUUUUUUUUGUCUUUUCCGAUCUUCUUCUCUAUCCUUCGCAAAAAUUAUAAAAUUACAUUACUUUUCUUUCUCCCUUCUUCUUCCUCGACAAUAAUUUUGUAAUUACUCUUCGACCCGAAAACAUUUGAUCGAAACAACAAAGCCAAACAAGGCCGCUAUUUAUUUAAUGUUUUGUUAUCUAAAAUAAAUUCCAAUCAAUAUAUUUAUAAUAAAAUAUCAAUACGCGUAUUGUAUAUAAAUGACAGAAAAUCAAAUUGUUACAAUGUAAUUAUUUUUGAAAUGCAAAUUAUUACAUGUAAUUAUUUUUAUCGAUAAAAAAAAAGUUCAUAUUGUACUUGAUCGUUUUGCUUUACAAAAAUAUUUAUUAUUAAUUAAUAAAAAUACUGCAGCAGUAAAGAAAAAGUA